UACGUAGGGAGCAAGCGUUGUCCGGAAUCAUUGGGCGUAAAGCGCGCGUAGGCGGCCCUGUAAGUCCGUUGUGAAAGUCAAAGGCUCAACCUUUGAAUGCCGAUGGAUACUGCAGGGCUAGAGUCCGGAAGAGGCGAGUGGAAUUCCUGGUGUAGCGGUGGAAUGCGCAGAUAUCAGGAGGAACACCGAUGGCGAAGGCAGGUCUCUGGGCCACUACUGACGCUGAGAAGCGAAAGCAUGGGGAGCGAACAGG
rnacentral:rRNA from 1 species